CUACUUUUCGUUAAGCUUUGUGUCUGAAUUAUUAACAGGAAUUGAGUAGAGAGUGUUGCAAAAUAUCGCCACAAUCUUAUAUGUGGCUAUGAGUAGUAAAUACCACCCUUCUGUUAUAUUACACAGAGAAAAAUUUACAGUUUCAAAUUUAGAAGUGUAAUGUCUAAUGUCAUCGUGUGAUAUAUACGCGUGUGUGAAUUACAUAAGCCAAACAAAUUUGUGAAUUACAUAAGCCAAACAAAAAAUAUGUGUUACAUUUAAGAUUGUU
rnacentral:lncRNA from 1 species